rnacentral:misc_RNA from 1 species
AAUCCCUCAGGCUCUCUACUUCCGCCUAUUGUCGGAUAAGUUAAUAUUCUAUAAUCUACUUAGAUACAUAGUAGGAAUCAGUGUAUGGUCAUAAGUUACAACUAUUUCUAUACAGCAUUUUAAUAUUAUCCCUCAAAAUCCUAAAACAUUAUUAAAAAACAGUAAUUAAAAAUCAAUAAUAUGAGAAAGUCGAUCUCAAAUUGACUUAAUAAAAAAUUCAUAUCUGUUUUCAGAAUUCUUAUUGUUUUAUUAUACCACGCCCAGUUAUAAUCUCUCGUUGGGCUGAUUAUAGAAGGGAAGUAAUUGAGAUAGGCACCCUGCUAUAUCCACCCUAUCCACGUACAAAUAAUGGGCGGUAGACGGGGAAUAUCCCACCACAACAACUAUCGCAAUAACAGAAUAUAUGAACGUAGAAAUAGCCACCAUUACCCAGGUUAGGUUGCCCAAGACUACCCGGAGGAUAGAACCCUAUUACUAUCCCCGAUUGUAGUUAGAAAUACAACAGGUGUAAUUUUUCGGCCCACUUUAUAUAAUAUUUACCUUGUCUAUAGGACUAUAGCAAAAUAAAAUUCAAUAUAUUACUAUAUGUCGUUUGGUCACUGGCUGUCAGACUUUAUGCCGGUAAACCACGGACUAAAAUUAAUCUUAGUCCGUGCGGUAAACACAUGAAAAAAAUAGAUAAUAUUUAUAUCCAUUUUGCUAUGAGUAAACAGCUGAAGUUCCAAAUCGAUAAUACUGUCAGAAAUCACUAUAUCUGAAAUACAGCCAGUGGUUACAGUACAAUAGAGAAGUCGUACGCGCUAUGCGCAGCCGUGAAAGUAAUAUCAUAUAGUGCCUAUACACUAUAAUUUAUAGUAAUCAAUAGUAUGUAUUUGAUUAUGUAAUAUUCUUUGGCGCGUUUGUUGUUAUUGACUUUUGAAAAGGAGGUUGGAAAAGUAUAAGCGAUGUGGUGGGUGGUUGCGGGAGGCCGGCUACGAAAUAUGCAUCCUUUUCCUUCGUCGUCAAUCCAAUCAAAUUAGUAAACAGCAAAAGCCAUGUAACGCCAUCUAUUUGGUAGCGCUAGAUCUGUCUUCGAUGCACGUAAAUCGUCCCACCAACCCCCACCGUGGCAAUAGACACUCGACGUCGGGCUCGAUUCGAGUAAUUAAUUACUCGUUUCAAUGUUGAUUCAAAUCCACUUCAUCUUAGUCUGUAUUUUUGACUAAUGGUUGCUUCAUAUUAUUGUUGAACUCGUUUAUUAUUUGUUAUCACUUGGUAUUUAAUUUAUACUUAAAUCGAUUGUUGUCUAUUGAGUUUAUGAAUGUUGAUAUUCUCCAGUAACAGUGUACACGACGACAAUAAUAAUAUUUUAUUAAUUGACACCUGUUAACAUUUUAAAUAUUAGCUAGACGCUGGCAGUAGUUUCUUUCCGUUGUUUGGUGGUCGCUGUCAACAUGUCCGAUCCCAAUGAUAACAGAAUAAACUUACAUGAAAAUGAAUUUCAUCCAAGUCCUAUUCCAGCUGUAGGAAAUAGUGGUAUUUCCUCAGCACUUCAAAGUCUACAAGUACCAUAUCAGUAUUUGGGAAAUGAACUUCAAAAUAUUACUGGAUGCAUAAAUUAUAAAUCAGGUGUUAUUGUUAAUACAGUACCACUUCUUUUUAUAAAAUUAAAUUUGAUGCCUGGAGAAAUUGCGCCAAUUAUUGCUAAUUCUUUGGAUAUUAAAUUUAUAUUACAUUAUGUCGUGACCAGUAAUCGUCCAUUUGGAAUUUGCCACAAAAUUAACGAAAAUAUGUGUACAUAUGGUACACUAGCUGCAAUUUGUGACCAUUCUAAAGUCAUGGAAGCUACUACACCAGAAACAUAUGAAAUUAAAGUUAAGGGCUUACAGCUAUUUCAACUUUUACAUGUCAAAUCAUUUCCUGAUAGUGAUAAUGAAACACUUGCUUUGGCUCGAAUCAAAUUUAUACAAAAUAUUACAAUAAAACAACAUCCGUACAAUGAACUGUGUUUACGUCCAAAGAAAUAUAAUUUAAGUCCGGGUGAAAUGUUCCAUAAGAAAGGCAUGUGGCAAAGUCAGUGGCCAGCUUGGGUUUAUAAGCAAUUUGAUGUUGAUGAAUUAGUAUCUCGCAUUAUCAAAAAAGUUAAAUUAUUGUAUAAAGGUAUAAAGUUCUCAAAUGUUCCAAGUAUAUUUUCAUUCCAAGUGACAAAACUUGGUUUAUUCACUCAAGAAGAAGUAAAUGAAUUGCUUGGUAUUGAGUCAACAAACCUACGACUUCAAUAUGAACUACAGUAUUUAAAACAAAAUCAAUCAAUGCAAAAAUUUAAGUGCGCUAGACUUAGAUGUGAUUUUCCAAUUUCUAAUAUGAGUCAAUUGCUUUCAAUAUCUCUUAGUGGACUAGUGGAUAGUUAUUGUGACUCUUGGGGAGUAAUUAAUGGCCUAGUUACAGUUACUGACCUAGAAGAUGGUUUAAGCGUGGUAAUAGUUGAAAAUAUAUCAUCUGAUAUCUGGUUCUUUGGGUAUACAAGUUCUGCAAUUUUUUGUCCAAACUGUGCAAAUUAUGUAGGUUGGAAAUUUGUGAAUACUGAUAAAUCAUCACUAUUGCCAAAAAUUUUUUAUGGGUUAUCUGCACAUACCGUAACAUCUAUGGAAACCUACAUAUUGCCUUUAGCUUCUCUAAAUGAUGAAAUGCCACUCGAAGAAAACAGUGAUAGAGAAAUAAUAUUCGAGUCCGUCAGUGAUGGAGACAUUUUAGAUACAUAAUAUGAGUAGAAAAUCCAAUUCAUAGCGGUACGUUAAAUAUAAUAUAUUAUGAGGUGCCGCACGCAAAUAUCUCGUGUCACCACUGCCACUCGCAACCUUAGAGUACCAUCCGGCAACCACCACUUCUGUCCGCCAACACAAUAAUAUAAUGUAAAUAAUAAUUAUUAUUACUAGCUAUAUUACUGGCCUUCCACACAUUUUUCAAAGGACGAAAACCUGCAAGUACCUGGCCUAUCUGCUCCACUAAAUUUUAUCUUUCUCUUUACUACCGCCCACGUGAAAACACUUUGGACUUCCACCACAUAAACAGACUUCAAUUUCAAUCAUAAUGAAGUAGCGCACCACCUAAAAUCUUUCUUUCAGCAAUGUCCAGUGGGAAGAAUGAUGAUGUUCGGUGCUAUUAAACACCGACGGGUGUCUGGUCCUUUAGUUAGGAAUUAAGUAUAUAUAUUUGUAUUUGUCAAUCAUGUACAUAUUAUUUCAUUAUUGUUACUAAGACACUAAGUAUCUGAUGGGUACAAAACAAUUUGUUAUAGUAUUAUGAAUAUUAUUAUCAUGUUUCCAGUUAUUGUUCCAAGAUGCCGUUGUAUGUACACGUACAUGUUAUUAUUAUUUAUAAUCAUAUAGAAUAAUGCUAUUAUUAUAGUUUUUUAAGGCAACUGACAUGAGACGAUUGUUUGUUUCGUCGACAGUAUUAUUCUUUUAGAUUCUGAACGGAGUGAUGAAUGUAUUGAUUUUACAUUAAUGUAUGUUUUUAUUUAUUCAUUUUUAAUUUAAUUUUUAUUUUUGUAUCUGUUAUCAGUCAUCAGGUUUU